UAUCUAUUAUUAUUUACGAAAUAUAACCUAGUUAUGUCAACCACAUCUUCGUCUCCAAGUAUAACUGUUGUUGUCAACAACAACGAAGAAGGUUUUGACAUUGUUGCUUGACAUGCUCUAAAUAACAGUUAAAUCUCCCUGACGUCUCACCCUACUGUCUUGACGUAAAAAGUGAAAAAAUUACAUUUUGACACUUGUUCUUCUUUGGAAAGAAAAGAAAAUAUAUGACGGCCAAUGCUGGGGUUCCUAAGAAGCCAUGGGAUAAUAUAUAUCGGGAAAGUAAAAGACUAAAUGAUUAUAGUUGAAACGCCUUCUUGAUCAGGAUUGGUCUACGGCUAAACUAUAACGAAAGCACAGCUGUUGUUGCUAAUAAUUUAUUCUUGGCAACAAAUUCCAUAAAAGAAUAAUCAAAGAAAGUCAGAUGCUAAAAACCUUUAAAUAGACAAGGUUGGUGCGAGGAAAAAGAAAUACAAAAGAACUAACAAAUGGUCCCAUUUCCAGCGUUCUCCUCGAAAAUAUUUCCAUAGUUUCUGUUUGUUUAUUUAUUUAUUGUAUUUACCUCUCAAAUUUCAAAGCGUUUAUGACUGGGUGUUUAUUAAACUGAUUGCAGUUUCCCUGCAAAAGCCAAGCUCUGUGCUCUUAUUUAACAAGCUAGAGUCAUUGCGCUUUGGGAAGAAACGGUAAAGAAAGAAAAUAUAAUUUGAUAUUUAUCGCGUUUAGAGAAAAAAAGUGCCGAGAAGGAAAUUUUGGCAUAGAUUCAUAGGACCUAUUUUGCAUAAAACAUAAACAAUGAUUUGAAUACUGACAAUGAAUUUCAACAUUUAAAUUUGAGGAGCCUUCAAUUAUACCUGCCAGAUCUUGGAAUAUUCUUCAAAGAUACCAGCAGAGUCCCAGACACACAUGUAGCUGUUUAGGAAUUGAACCUGAAUCACUGUGAUUGAAUGUGGAAGCACGCUUAAAGACCCAAACAGGAUUUCAUCAGGGAUUGAUGAUAUCACCCAACAACUAACAUUAAGAAGUUUUUAUCGACAGUUGUGCAGACCAGCAAAAAUGCAAGAGACCCAGCUGAAGCUUAACUUGUUAGAACCUCAGUUGUAAACAACAUAUUGGAAUGUCAUAAACAAUUUUGUCUUUGGAACCUUUCUUCAAUGGCCAUUAGGUAUAUAUAGAUCGUUUGUCUGGUAACUGACCAAUGGUUGUGACUCAGUUGGUCAACUUGCUGCAGGAACGGAUCUUUACCUUUUGGCCGGCACAUUUUGAGUUCAAAUUCUGCUGAGGUCGACUUUGCCUUUCAUCUUUUGGGGGUUGAUAAAUGAAGUACCAGUUGCAUCCUGGGGUCGAUCUAAUCAACUGGUUCCCUCCCCCAAAAUUUCAGGCCUUGUGCCUAGAGUAGAAAAGGAUAUUAUUCAUGUUUUAUGAGAAAUUGAAUUAAAUAUGAAUACUUUAUA